rnacentral:rRNA from 1 species
GACGAACGCUGGCGGCGUGCUUAACACAUGCAAGUCGAACGGAAAGGCCCUGCUUUUGUGGGGUGCUCGAGUGGCGAACGGGUGAGUAACACGUGAGUAACCUGCCCUUGACUUUGGGAUAACUUCAGGAAACUGGGGCUAAUACCGGAUAGGAGCUCCUGCUGCAUGGUGGGGGUUGGAAAGUUUCGGCGGUUGGGGAUGGACUCGCGGCUUAUCAGCUUGUUGGUGGGGUAGUGGCUUACCAAGGCUUUGACGGGUAGCCGGCCUGAGCGGGAGACCGGCCACAUUGGGACUGAGAUACGGCCCAGACUCCUACGGGAGGCAGCAGUGGGGAAUAUUGCACAAUGGGCGGAAGCCUGAUGCAGCAACGCCGCGUGCGGGAUGACGGCCUUCGGGUUGUAAACCGCUUUCGCCUGUGACGAAGCGUGAGUGACGGUAAUGGGUAAAGAAGCACCGGCUAACUACGUG